UGGAAAGCUCUGUGAGAACAGUGCUGGCUGAUUUCCUUGUAGAACCAGCCACGUUUUAUUGCCACCAUUAGCUUGUUUGUCUAGCUGCUCCUCUAAAUAAUUAGCUUCCUGAGGGAAGAUAACCCUAUUUCACUUCACCCAGUGCUGAAGAUGGUGACUGGCACAAAAAACUUCGACUCAUUCUCUUAUUGGAGAAAGAAAAUGGAAAGAAGCUUGUCCAAAUCACUUCUGAUAGCUUUCAAGUACACCACUUCUCUGAAAACAUCUCUGCCAAGUCAACCAUUUAUAAAGUAACCAGGCUAGUCGUCAGACACAGAAACUGUCUGAGCAGACUGGAUAAGAAAAUUGCCUCAUCCACGAAACAAGAAGAUACCUCAUUCUUUUUGCCCUGAGAAAAAUCAAUAUGUAAUCAAAAUUUUUAUUUGUUUCUUAAAACUACCCAGAAGGUUGAAUUUAACUAUUUCUCAUCCUGCCAGCUGUGUCAAACACCUCAGCAGAAAUUAGAAGAGAUCCUGGAGUUUUGCCACCGUGAAUCAUCUCUGCCAUCUCCAAAUGCCAGACUGGGGAUAGUCUGUCUUGGAAUAUUUUACAUCUGAUUCUGCAGCCUUCUUCCAGAUCACACAGGCUGACAUCUUUCAGUGAGUUUCUUCUGAAAAACUGUGCUGUUUGUGUCUGUAGAACUUUGACUCAUUCAAAAAGUGUACCUUACCAGCUAGCAAGG